rnacentral:piRNA from 1 species
GAGUGUUAGGAGCCUGGCAUGGCU